rnacentral:rRNA from 1 species
CCUACGGGAGGCAGCAGUAAGGAAUAUUGGUCAAUGGACGAAAGUCUGAACCAGCCAUGCCGCGUGAAGGAUUAAGGCCCUCUGGGUUGUAAACUUCUUUUAUCUGGGACGAAAAAAGGGUAGUCUUACUCACUUGACGGUACCAGAGGAAUAAGCACCGGCUAACUCCGUGCCAGCAGCCGCGGUAAUACGGAGGGUGCAAGCGUUAUCCGGAUUUACUGGGUUUAAAGGGUGCGUAGGUGGGCUUGUAAGUCAGUGGUGAAAUCUCCGGGCUUAACCCGGAAACUGCCAUUGAUACUAUAGGUCUUGAAUUAUCUGGAGGUAAGCGGAAUAUGUCAUGUAGCGGUGAAAUGCUUAGAUAUGACAUAGAACACCAAUUGCGAAGGCAGCUUACUACGGAUACAUUGACACUGAGGCACGAAAGCGUGGGGAUCAAACAGGAUUAGAUACCCUGGUAGUCCACGCCCUAAACGAUGGAUACUCGACAUACAGACGAUACACUGUUGGUUGUUCGUGUAGACGAAGACAUAAGUUAAUACCACCCUACGGAAGGUAACGAGUACGCAAGAAGUUAGUAAACGUAACUAAACUAAGUAAGUUAGUACGGACGUGAGACGUAGCCGAACGGACGACGACGAGGGAGGGAGGGAG